CUAACUUGUCUCCAACAUGAUCUAGUCUUCAAGGAUUAGCUAGACCUUGAGGCCAAAGCAGGGUAUAGCAUGUGAGCAUCUGCUUUGCCUGCCCCAGGAGUGUGUUCCCAUUUGCCUAUCAGUGUGUAUAGAUGGCCAAAGUAGGGAGGGCCUGGGAGAACAGACGUCCCCAGCAGGUCGAGAAGCCAGGAGCUCCAAUUCCGGGGGUUUUUCCUCCUGGUCCAGGGCAGGGUAUCUUCCGAUGGGCAGUCAUGUGGGCAAGUGUGGCCAUUGAUUGAGAGGGGCAGGAGGCAGGAUGCUGGUUCACAGUCUAGGUGUUCCGCUUUAUGGGCCCUUGGUGUAUUCUGUGACCUAUGCCAGGGUCACUUUGCUGCCUCAGGACAGGCUCAACUCCCCUGCCAGGCUAGUCUCCCAUCCGGUUGGGCCUCUGGCUCCUUCCAGGGGAAGAGGGGGAACCUGAGCUGGCUGUUGGUGUCUUGUGCCUAGGAGUUUAAUAUUUCGAGCCCAGCAAGACUGCUCCAUCUGCUGUAGAUGAAGAUCUCCUUCAAUGACAAGAGCCUGCACACAACAUUUGAGUACCCUUCUGAGAGCUCUCUGGCCCAGGAGGAGGCAGAGGAGGAAGAAGAGGAGGAGGAGGAGGAAGAAGGAGAGGAUGGUGAAGAGGAGGAAGUGGGG
rnacentral:lncRNA from 1 species